AGAGCGUCCGGUUCAUACCCGGGAGGUUGAGAGUUCGAGUCUCUCCCUCGCUA
rnacentral:tRNA from 1 species